rnacentral:rRNA from 1 species
AGAGUUUGAUCGUGGCUCAGAAUCAACGCUGGCGGCGUGCCUAACACAUGCAAGUCGAACGCGAAAGGGGCUUCGGCCCUGAGUAGAGUGGCGAACGGGUGAGUAACACGUGGGUGAUCUACCUUUGAGUGGGGGAUAACGUUCCGAAAGGAACGCUAAUACCGCAUGAUGUUCUGGGUUUAAAGACCUGGAAACCAAAGCCGGGGACCGCAAGGCCUGGCGCUUAAAGAGGAGCCCGCGUCCGAUUAGCUAGUUGGCGGGGUAAUGGCCCACCAAGGCGACGAUCGGUAGCCGGCCUGAGAGGGCGGACGGCCACACUGGAACUGAGACACGGUCCAGACUCCUACGGGAGGCAGCAGUGGGGAAUUGUUCACAAUGGGCGCAAGCCUGAUGACGCAACGCCGCGUGGGGGAUGAAGGUCUUCGGAUUGUAAACCCCUGUCGAACGGGACGAAAGACCCGGGAGCUAAUCAUCCCGGGAGUGACGGUACCGUUAAAGGAAGCCACGGCUAACUCUGUGCCAGCCGCCGCCGUAAU